rnacentral:lncRNA from 10 species
CAAAGCCUGAGCAUACAACCAGGAGCUGAAGGGACCAGCUUGGCCGUCAGUUGCAAGGGUGUGAGGCAGAAGCAACACAAAAGAUCUUGAUAUGAAGCAAUUAUUUUUGGUCUUAAACUGCUGGGACUCCAGAUGACCCAGACCACGGUCAGCAGGCAGAAGCCAGGUAUUUUAUUCUUUUAGAUGCUAUUGUCAACAGAAUUGCCUUCAAGAUUCCUUUUCUGAUUGUUCAUUGCUGAGAUGACAUCUCACUAUAUUGCCCAGGCUGGUCUUGAACUUCUAGCCUCAAGCAAUCCUCCCACCUCAGCCUCUGAACGUACUGGAAUUACAGAUGGAGCAACUGAGAUUCUUCCCCAACUAGACUAUAAGUUCUCUGAGGGAUAAGGAACAUGUCUGGUUUCCUCAUCUCUCUGUCACAGCACCCUGUGAAUGCCUAGAAGACAGUAAGAAUCAACUGAAUGUUUGUAGAAAGAAUAACGAUACUUACCUAUAGUCUAAAGGUUUAGUGAUGAAAUGAAGUCCACUAACUUCUCUCUGCUUACUUCCACCCUCAAUAACAUAUUUCCUCAAACCCCACAGAGGAAAGACAAUUCAUUUUUUACUAUUGUUUAAUAGAGCCAUGUUUGUAUGUAGCUUCCUGUUCCGCUUAGCCCAAGACAUUAAGUGGGUCAGGAGUAAACUCUGCCCUCUGUUUUUUUCCAUUCCUUUGUCACCUGCUCAAGUGGCAGCCCAGAGCCGCUUGGCGGCUUCCCUGAAGAUGAGCAGAGUGCAGUAGAUUAGGCAUGGCCUUUCUAUCUAUUUCUACUAUGGAGAAGCUGAAAAAGCUAUAUGGCUGGAAAAAAAUCACCUUGGUACUAAUUUGCUAUUUUACAAUAUUUGAAAAUAAAGACCUGUGGUCUUCCUAUGUAUUUCUUUUUAAACAAUGAGGGGUAUGGAACAUCUAUGAAUAAACAUCAAGGUCUUCAAGUGAAUUUUCAGGUUGUGAAGUAUGUGAUUUGUUACUACUAGGGAGAGAUGUUUCCUAACCAUAAAAAUGAAUGUGACUUUUUUUUUUUAAAGGAUGCAACUAAAUUAUAAAAGACAAUCAUUUCACUGGUGGGAAUAGAAUUCACUUAUUCUGAGUCAUGCCUAUUGCAUUACAUUUUGUUUAGCAUAAUUAAUGGUGAAUCUGAGUUGUCCCACAGAAGUAAACCCUAAUUCUCCUCUCCCUACUUCUACCUCUCUCAUUUUAAAGUCUUCAAUUAGUUUUUCCCAAAUGUUUCCAGUCUUAAGAUUUACGGAAUUUGAAGCCUUUCCCAAAGAUCCAAUCUUCCAGAUAAAAGGAAAAUAUAAUAUAGCAUUCCAAUAAAAAUAAGAUAUUCUGGGGUUUCCAUUUUUAAUUAUACCAAUUUUUAAUGUUCAUUAAAUAUAUUUCCCUCUGCCAA